rnacentral:rRNA from 1 species
GACGAACGCUGGCGGCGUGCUUAACACAUGCAAGUCGAGCGGUAAGGCCCUUUCGGGGGUACACGAGCGGCGAACGGGUGAGUAACACGUGGGUGACCUGCCCUCAGCUCUGGGAUAAGCCUGGGAAACCGGGUCUAAUACUGGAUAUGACUCCAUGACGCAUGUUGUGGGGUGGAAAGCCUUGUGCGGCUGAGGAUGGGCCCGCGGCCUAUCAGCUUGUUGGUGGGGUGANGGCCUACCAAGGCGACGACGGGCAGCCGGCCUGAGAGGGCGACCGGCCACACUGGGACUGAGACACGGCCCAGACUCCUACGGGAGGC